rnacentral:rRNA from 1 species
CCUACGGGUGGCUGCAGUGGGGAAUAUUGGGCAAUGGGCGCAAGCCUGACCCAGCAACGCCGCGUGAAGGAAGAAGGCCUUCGGAUUGUAAACUUCUUUUGUCAGGGACGAAGAAGGUGACGGUACCUGACGAAUAAGCCACGGCUAACGCGGUGGCAGCAGCCGUAGUAAUACGUAGGGGGCAAGCGUUAUCCGGAGUUACGGGGUGUAAGGGGCGUGUAGGCGGGAGAGCAAGUCAGACGUGAACUUCCUGGGCUCAACCCUGGAACUGCGUUUGAAACUGUUCUUCUUGAGUGAUGGAGAGGCAGGCGGAAUUCCGGGUGUAGCGGUGAAAUGCGUAGAGAUACGGAGGAACACCAGUGGCGAAGGCGGCCUGCUGGACAUUAACUGACGCUGAGGCGCGAAAGCGUGGGGAGCAAACAGGAUUAGAUACCCGUGUAGUC